GGGAAAAGAACUGCAGAGACUUGAGAACGUGUUUGAAGAAUGAAAGGAAGGCAGCGUAGUUGGCCUGAACAGAGGAGAAAGAGUGAGGACAGUGGAUCAGAUCACUCAGAAUUUGGCAGAGCAACACAGGGAAGUAGAAGGGGAUUCCUCAAAUCACCGGAAGCCAUGGAUUCGUCUUAGGUUUGGGGACUCGUCUCCCUGUAGCGCACAGAUUAAAUGAGGUAAUACACAUAAUGCACUUAGAACAGUAGCCAGUCUAGACAGCAUUCUAAAAGUAUUCUUAUCGGGAUUCUGAUUACUAACAAUAGGUUGGAGGAGAACCAAGAAUGGAAGCAAGUAGACAGGUUGGGAGGUAAUUAUUCUGCUCCUCCUUCCUAGCGACUGUGAAGUUGGAGAGCGAUGCUCUGUGCAGAGUAUUAUGAGAGUCAGAUGUGUGAUCGUUAGGGCUUCCUGAUGAACAGGGAAGGAAAUGAAGGACUCCUCUUAGGUUUCUGUCCUAAGCUAUCAGGCGAGGAUGCGUUAUCAUGCCGAGGAAGACUGUGGAAGAGAGGAAUCUGGGACGAAGAAACAAGGCACCAUUUCACUCUGUUGAGUUGGAGAUGCCUACACGGGAUCACAGUGGAAAUGUCAGGUAUGUCAUCGUCCUGGGUGCCCACUGAGAAAACAGAGGCUCCUUAACAUGAGGAAGCUGAGAUCCAGGAGGACUAGUCAUCUCAAAGUGGAACAGCUGUUAGGAGAGCGUCAACCCUGGAACUCAGGCUAAGAAGCCAUUGCAGCCAGAGACCUUGUGUCCUCGUGGUAGAAGCCCUCAGGAGGGGCAGCAGCUUCUUGUCGUACAUAACCCAGGCCCAGAACCAGUGCCGAACUGGGUGAUGAGCCAGUGUCAUUCACCGUUCCCACACAUUUCGGAUGUGAAAGAGAACUAGUUUUGACUUGGAGAGGAAAGGAUCACGUUCUGUAAGCAAGCAUCUGUCUGCGUCAGGUUAUGAUCCCCUUGGGCCAAGAUCUGCCUCUGCCUGUCUUGUCAGUGCCCUCCCGGGGCCUCGCGUGAAAGUACAGCUGUGUUAUUCGGAAAGUUGACUGGAGAAAUCUAGAGACGGUGUCACCAGGAGAAAACGACAGUGCCUACCACUAGACAUAAAACAGCUAGGGACUGCGUUCAAGCGGAGGUCAAACUAAAUUGAACGGAGCCUUCUGAACUUCUGAAGCUAGUUGACUUUUUUCUGCUUCUAAGAGCUUCCUUUUUGUUUGUUUGUUUGUUUUCAAAUAUAUUUAAUUAUGGUAAAAUAGACAUAACGUAAAAUUUACCAUUUCGCCAUGUUUAAGCAGAGAGCUACGUUAAGUAUGCUCACAUUGUUGUACAACCAAAUCUUCAGAAAUUUUUCAUCUUGCAAAACUGAAACUCUAUACCAAUUGAAUACCUCCUCAUUUCUUCCUUCCUCCGACCCCUGGUAACCAUCAUCCUACCUUCUGUCCCUGAAUUUGACAAUUCUGGGCACAUCAUGGAAGAGGCAUUCUACAAUAUUUGUCUUUUUGUGUCCAGCUUAUUUCACUCAUCAUAAUAUUCUUCAAGUUCAUCCAGGUUGUCGUAUGUGUCAGAAUUACCUCUCUUUGGCUGAAUAAUGUUCUAUUAUAUGGAUAUACUCUAUUUUGCUUUUCCACUCAUCUGUUGAGGGACACU